UCAAAAACAUGGCUUUGCGUAAAAAUGCAAAGUCUAGCCUGCCCACUGAAAUUUUAAAGGGCCGCGGUAAUUUGACCGUGCUAAGGUAGCAUAAUCAAUAGUUUUUUAAUUGAAAACUUGGAUGAAUGGUUUUACAAAAAGAGGCCUGUCUUAAUUAUUAAAAUUGAAUUUAAUUUUUGUGUGAAAAAGCAUGAAUGAUUUAAUUGGACGACAAGACCCUAUAAAACUUUACAUUAAAUUAGAUAUUUGUAAUUUUUAAAAAUUAGUUUUUAAUAUUAUGUUUUGCUGGGGCGGUAGGAAUAUAAUAAUAGCUGUUCUUAGAAUAAAAUAGUAAUAAUUAAAUAUUGGCCCUUUAUUAAGGAUUAAAAGAUUAAGUUACUUUAGGGAUAACAGCGUAAUUUCUUUUGAGAGUUCUUAUCGACAAUGGGACUUGCGACCUCGAUGUUGAAUUAAGGCAAUCCUAUUGGAGUAGGUGCUAUAUAUGGUAGGUCUGUUCGACCUUUAAUGCCUNACAUGAUUUGAGUUCAAACCGGUGUGAGCCAGGUG
rnacentral:rRNA from 1 species